GAUUUGUGGUGGAUUUACCACCGGACGGGCCAUUACCGCCACCUUCUGGGUUGUCUGAAGACAAGUGUAAUUGCGAUGUCACAUUCAUCGCCAACCCUCCAUCCAUGAUCACAUCAUGGCAGCAGCCGUGGUGCACUGUCAUCCCAACCAACUUCCUGUCCCAAGUAAUCAGGAGUGACCCGGUAUUUCAAACCCAGCUGGAUGGGGCUUGUUGUUGCUGUGCACACAUGCUUGCACUGGACUGCCUGAGGUCGUGUGAGGAGCAGAUUGAGGCCCUGCUGGAGUUUAGUUUGAGACAGGCACAGCAACACAUCGUCUACAUAGAAAAGAAAAGGAUAGAUGAGGAGCUGGACCUUUCCUGCACCCCACGGAUGACAGGGACAUCAACACUUCAUUUCCAUCCUCCCCAUUCUUUAGUUUCUAAGACUCCAGCCUUACCAAGUGGCUAUCAGGAAAAGAGGAACAUCGUCAAAGCCUUGUCAUCCUAUAAACACACUCUGGCAAAAGCUUUGACUCCUCCCUGGUGUUACUGGGUUUUAUG